rnacentral:rRNA from 1 species
AGUCGUUCUGCCCAUUGUUUUUUAAAGGCUGCGGUAUAUUAACUGUACAAAGGUAGCAAAAUAAAUAGUUUUUUAAUUGAAAACUUGAAUGAAAGAUUUGAUAAAAUAUAAAUUGUUUCAAAUAUUGAAAUUAAAUUGAAAGUUAAAAUGCUUUUAUUUUUUUAUUAGACGAUAAGACCCUAAGAAUUUAAUUUUUUAUUUAAUUAUAAAAAUUAUUUUUAAAUUAAAUAAUUUUAUUGGGAGGAUAAAAAAAUAAAACUUUUUUUUUUUAAAAUAUAUUUAAAUAAAUUUAAUGAUUAUUUUUAAGAUUAUAAGAAUAAAUUACCUUAGGGAUAACAGCGUUAUAAUUUUGGAGAGUUCAUAUUGAUAAAAUUGUUUGCGACCUCGAUGUUGAAUUAAAAUAAAAUUUAAAUGAAGAAAUUUAAGUUUUUAGUCUGUUCGACUAUUAAAAUUUUAC